UUUCGUUGAUUAAGUGCCAAGAUGCGAGUGGGCGGUUAUCAAGAACACGUUUUGUAAAUGGUCAGCACCAGGAUAGCAGAAGAUUAAGUGCCAAGAUGCGAGUGGGCGGUUAUCAAGAACACGUUUUGUAAAUGGUCAGCACCAGGAUAGCAGAAGAGAACGGUACAGCAGACCAGGCAAGCGGACGAAGAGGCGAGAGACACGCUCGGAGGCUGGAGUACCAGGAUGGCGACCAGAG